UUCGCAAUGCCCGAAAGGGUGAACGAGCGACGCCGCGUGCGGGAUGAAGGGUUUCGGCUUGUAAACCGCUUUUCUUUGGGAAGAAGGUCUGUCUCGUGCAGAUGGGCUCGACGGUACCAGAGGAAUAAGCCUCGGCUAACUCCGCGCCAGCAGCCGCGGUAAGACGGAGGAGGCAAGCGUUGUUCGGAUUCACUGGGCUUAAAGGGCGCGUAGGCGGCUUGUCAAGUCAGGGGUGAAAUCUUUCGGCUCAACCGGAAAAUUGCUUCUGAUACUGGCAGGCUUGAGGGAGGUAGGGGCAGGUGGAACUUCCGGUGGAGCGGUGAAAUGCGUAGAUAUCGGAAGGAACGCCGGUGGCGAAAGCGACUUGCUGGACCUCUUCUAACGCUGAGGCGCGAAAGCCAGGGGAGCAAACGGGAUUAGAUACCCCGGUAGUCCUGGCCCUAAACGAUGGGCACUAAGUAGAGGGGUUUU
rnacentral:rRNA from 1 species